rnacentral:rRNA from 1 species
AGUGAACGCUGGCGGUAGGCCUAACACAUGCAAGUCGAACGGCAGCACAGUAAGAGCUUGCUCUUACGGGUGGCGAGUGGCGGACGGGUGAGGAAUACAUCGGAAUCUACUUUUUCGUGGGGGAUAACGUAGGGAAACUUACGCUAAUACCGCAUACGACCUACGGGUGAAAGCAGGGGAUCUUCGGACCUUGCGCGAUUGAAUGAGCCGAUGUCGGAUUAGCUAGUUGGCGGGGUAAAGGCCCACCAAGGCGACGAUCCGUAGCUGGUCUGAGAGGAUGAUCAGCCACACUGGAACUGAGACACGGUCCAGACUCCUACGGGAGGCAGCAGUGGGGAAUAUUGGGCAAUGGGCGCAAGCCUGAUCCAGCCAUACCGCGUGGGUGAUGAAGGCCUUCGGGUUGUAAAGCCCUUUUGUUGGGAAAGAAAAGCAGCAGGUUAAUACCCCGCUAUUCUGACGGUACCCAAAGAAUAAGCACCGGCUAACUUCGUG